rnacentral:rRNA from 1 species
UACGGGGGGGGGCAAGCGUUGUUCGGAAUUACUGGGCGUAAAGGGCUCGUAGGUGGCCAACUAAGUCAGACGUGAAAUCCCCAGGCUCAACUUGGGAACUGCGUCUGAUACUGGAUGGCUUGAAUUCGGGAGAGGGAUGCAGAAUUCCAGGUGUAGCGGUGAAAUGCGUAGAUAUCUGGAGGAAUACCGGUGGCGAAGGCGGCAUCCUGGACCGAUAUUGACACUGAUGAGCGAAAGCCAGGGGAGCAAACGGG